rnacentral:rRNA from 1 species
AUUGAACGCUGGCGGUAGGCUUAACACAUGCAAGUCGUGCGAGAAAGUAUCUUCGGAUAUGAGUAGAGCGGCGGACGGGUGAGUAACGCGUAGGAAUCUACCUAGUAGAAGGGGAUAGCCCGGGGAAACCCGGAUUAAUACCGUAUACCUCCUUCGGGAGAAAGAAGGCCUCUCUUUGAAGCUUUCGCUACUAGAUGAGCCUGCGUAAGAUUAGCUUGUUGGUGAGGUAAAGGCUCACCAAGGCUACGAUCUUUAGCUGGUCUGAGAGGACGAUCAGCCACAUUGGGACUGAGACACGGCCCAGACUCCUACGGGAGGCAGCAGUGGGGAAUAUUGGACAAUGGGCGCAAGCCUGAUCCAGCCAUACCGCGUGUGUGAAGAAGGCCUUCGGGUUGUAAAGCACUUUAAGCAGGGAGAAAAAGUUAUAAGUUAAUACCUUAUAACCCUGAUGUUACCUGCAGAAUAAGCACCGGCUAAUUCCGUGCCAGCAGCCGCGGUAAUACGGAAGGUGCAAGCGUUAAUCGGAAUUACUGGGCGUAAAGCGCGCGUAGGUGGUUUGUUAAGUUGGAUGUGAAAGCCCUGGGCUCAACCUAGGAACUGCAUCCAAAACUAACUCACUAGAGUACGAUAGAGGGAGGUAGAAUUCAUAGUGUAGCGGUGGAAUGCGUAGAUAUUAUGAAGAAUACCAGUGGCGAAGGCGGCCUCCUGGAUCUGUACUGACACUGAGGUGCGAAAGCGUGGGUAGCGAACAGGAUUAGAUACCCUGGUAGUCCACGCCGUAAACGAUGACAACUAGCUGUUGGGAGACUAUGUCUUUCAGUGGCGCAGCUAACGCUUUAAGUUGUCCGCCUGGGGAGUACGGCCGCAAGGCUAAAACUCAAAUGAAUUGACGGGGACCCGCACAAGCGGUGGAGCAUGUGGUUUAAUUCGAUGCAACGCGAAAAACCUUACCUACUCUUGACAUACUUGGGAGCUCUUGUAAUGAGAGUGUGCCUUAUGGAACCAAGAUACAGGUGCUG